UCUUGGUCAUUUAGAGGAAGUAAAAGUCGUAACAAGGUUUCCGUAGGUGAACCUGCGGAAGGAUCAUUAUUGAAAUAAACCUGAUAGGUUGUUGCUGGCUCUCUAGGGAGCAUGUGCACGCCUUGUCAUCUUUAUAUCUCCACCUGUGCACUUUUUGUAGACCUCUUUUUAAAAAAGGUCUAUGUUGCUUCAUUUUACCUCAAUUGUAUGUCAAUAGAAUGUUGUGCCUAUAUAAUAUAUACAACUUUCAGCAACGGAUCUCUUGGCUCUCGCAUCGAUGAAGAACGCAGCGAAAUGCGAUAAGUAAUGUGAAUUGCAGAAUUCAGUGAAUCAUCGAAUCUUUGAACGCACCUUGCGCUCCUUGGUAUUCCGAGGAGCAUGCCUGUUUGAGUGUCAUUAAUAUAAUCUCAAUCCUUUUCUUUUUUGAAAAGGUUUGGAUGUGGGGGUUUGCUGGCCUCUUCAAAAAGUUCAGCUCCCCUGAAAUGCAUUAGCAGAACAACCUUGCUCAUUGGUGUGAUAACUAUCUACGCUUAUGAAUGUGAGGGAACAGUUCAGCUUUCUAACAGUCUUCGGACAAUUCAUCAUUAAUGUGACCUCAAAUCANGGUAGGACUACCCGCUGAACUUAAGCAUAUCAAUAAGCGGAGGAAAAGAAACUAACAAGGAUUCCCCUAGUAACUGCGAGUGAAGCGGGAAAAGCUCAAAUUUAAAAUCUGGCGGUCUUUUGGCUGUCCGAGUUGUAAUCUAGAGAAGUGUUAUCCGCGCUGGACCGUGUACAAGUCUCCUGGAAUGGAGCGUCAUAGAGGGUGAAGAAUCCAU
rnacentral:rRNA from 1 species